GAAAUUGUCGAAGUACUGAACAAGGAGAGGAAAAGGCAGCAAUAUUGCCAGAUCAUUGCCCCAGCUUCUCAAAUGGUUCAAUCGUAGAUAUUAAUUUGGAACAUUGGAAAUUUGACCUGGGCCUACAUUAACAUUCGAUUAAGCGGCCAUUGGUGACAUGAAGCAAAAUACCACCAAAGGCGAAUCUCUUUCAAAUGGGUCUUGUCUGAGU
rnacentral:lncRNA from 1 species